rnacentral:rRNA from 1 species
GCGGCGGCUACCCUUGCAAGUUCGAACGGUAACUUUCUCGCUCGGCUCGAAGAUGACGAGUGGCGGAGGGUGAGUAACGCUUGGGAACUUGCCUUUGCGAGGGGGAUAACAGUUGGAAACGACUCGCUAAUACCGCAUAAUGUCUUCGGACCAAACGGGGCUUAGGCUCCGGCGCAAAGAGAGGCCCAAGUGAGAUUAGCUAGUUGGUAAGGUAACGGCUUACCAAGGCGACGAUCUCUAGCUGUUCUGAGAGGAAGAUCAGCCACACUGGGACUGAGACACGGCCCAGACUCCUACGGGAGGCAGCAGUGGGGAAUAUUGCACAAUGGGGGAAACCCUGAUGCAGCCAUGCUGCGUGUGUGAAGAAGGCCUUCGGGUUGUAAAGCACUUUCAGUUGUGAGGAAAAGUUAGUAGUUAAUACCUGCUAGCCGUGACGUUAACAACAGAAGAAGCACCGGCUAACUCCGUGCCAGCAGCCGCGGUAAUACGGAGGGUGCGAGCGUUAAUCGGAAUUACUGGGCGUAAAGCGCACGCAGGCGGUUUGUUAAGCUAGAUGUGAAAGCCCCGGGCUCAACCUGGGAUGGUCAUUUAGAACUGGCAGACUAGAGUCUUGGAGAGGGGAGUGGAAUUCCAGGUGUAGCGGUGAAAUGCGUAGAUAUCUGGAGGAACAUCAGUGGCGAAGGCGACUCCCUGGCCAAAGACUGACGCUCAUGUGCGAAAGUGUGGG